rnacentral:tRNA from 1 species
CCAGGGGUGCCGGAGUGGACAAUCGGAUCAGACUGUAAAUCUGACGGCCUAGCGCCUGCGGGAGUUCGAAUCUCUCCCCCUGGA